rnacentral:rRNA from 1 species
UACGAAGGGGGCUAGCGUUGCUCGGAAUUACUGGGCGUAAAGCGCACGUAGGCGGCUUGGUAUGUCGGGUGUGAAAUCCCCGGGCUCAACCUGGGAACUGCAUCCGAAACUGCCUUGCUAGAGUAUGGGAGAGGGAAGUGGAAUUUCCGGUGUAGCGGUGAAAUGCGUAGAUAUCGGAAGGAACAUCAGUGGCGAAGGCGACUUCCUGGACCAAUACUGACGCUCAGGUGCGAAAGCGUGGGGAGCAAACAGG